CAGUGACGGUGUUUUAUCUGUAGGGGCCAUGAUGUCAACACCCAUUGAAUGGGUUUUAUCGAUGAGGGGAUGACUGUCACAAUGAAGGGUUUUAUCUGAGAGGGGGAUGACUUCCCCUGAAGGGUUUCAUCCGAGAGGGGAUGACUGUCACACUGAAGGGUUUUAUCUGAGAGGGGAUGACUGUCACACUGAAGGGUUUUAUCUGAGAGGGGAUGACUGUCACACUGAAGGCUUUAUCUGAGAGGGGAUGACUGUCACAUGAAGGGUUUUUAUCUGACGAGGGAUGACUGUCACACUGAAGGGUUCAUCGAGAGGGGAUGACUGUCACACUGAAGGGUUUAUCCUGAGAGGGGAUGACUUUCCCAGUGAAGGUUUUAUCUGAGAGGGGAUGACUGUCACCGAAGGGUUUUUAUCCGAGAGGGGAUGACUGUCACAGUAAGGGUUUUAUCUGAGAGGGGAUGACUGUCACACUGAAGGGUUUUAUCCGAUAGGGGAUGGACUGUCACAGUGAAGGGUUUUAUCUGAGAGGGGAUGACUGUCACACUGAAGGGUUUUAUUGAGGGGG
rnacentral:lncRNA from 1 species